ACGUUGAAGCACCGGUAACCGUACGAUCACCGAAGUUAAGCAAUAUCAAGUCUGAUCCGUAGCUAAAUGGGUGACCGUUUGGGAAUACCAGGUGUUGUAAG